rnacentral:rRNA from 1 species
GACGAACGCUGGCGGCGUGCUUAACACAUGCAAGUCGAACGCUGAAGCUCAGCUUUUGUUGGGUGGAUGAGUGGCGAACGGGUGAGUAACACGUGAGUAACCUGCCCCCUUCUUUGGGAUAACGCCCGGAAACGGGUGCUAAUACUGGAUAUUCACUGGUCUUCGCAUGGGGGUUGGUGGAAAGGGUUUUUCUGGUGGGGAUGGGCUCGCGGCCUAUCAGCUUGUUGGUGGGGUGAUGGCCUACCAAGGCUUUGACGGGUAGCCGGCCUGAGAGGGUGACCGGCCACAUUGGGACUGAGAUACGGCCCAGACUCCUACGGGAGGCAGCAGUGGGGAAUAUUGCACAAUGGGCGCAAGCCUGAUGCAGCGACGCCGCGUGAGGGAUGGAGGCCUUCGGGUUGUGAACCUCUUUCGCUCAUGGUCAAGCCGCAACAAUGGUUGUGGUGAGGGUAGUGGGUAAAGAAGCGCCGGCUAACUACGUG